rnacentral:rRNA from 1 species
UCGCCUGCAUGAAGCUGGAAUUGCUAGUAAUCGCGGAUCAGCAAGCCGCGGUGAAUACGUUCCCGGGCCUUGUACACACCGCCCGUCACACCAUGAGAGUCGGGAACACCCGAAGUCCGUAGUCUAACCGCAAGGGGGGCGCGGCCGAAGGUGGGUCCGGUAAUUGGGGUGAAGUCGUAACAAGGUAGC